rnacentral:lncRNA from 1 species
UGCCCCUAGAAACAAGGAGAACCAGAGCCACUCAAUUAGAGGGGCCACCACAAUAACUGUACUGUUGGCAUCUUUCAUAGGCUCCUUAGGGUAUUGCUAAAAAGAGUAAUUUUACAAUUGAAUUUCAAUUAUUCUCAGAAAACAGGAAUAAGACCCCCACAUGAAAGAAGGAUUGUAAGGAUUUUUAAGCUGAAAGGUAAUAUGCUCAGGUCUGCAUUUUAGAAGGAGCAAACUAACUACUCUAUGGAGAAUAGAUCAGAGAGUUUGAGACCAGAGGUGAGGACUCCAGUGGGGACGUCAGGACUGGAGGUCCCAGGAAGGUCAGUGGUGGCAGUAGUAGGUGUGAAUUUUAGUCCCAAUUCUUCCACCUCCCUGCAUCCACACUCUGGCUAUAUGAGACUUUGGGCUUGGUCUUGUGACUUACUUUGAUCAAUGGAAUGGGGCAGAUGAGUCUUGAUACCAGGUCUGAGAGCUGAUGGUAAGAGACCUUACAUAUUUCUACUUUUCCUCUCAUGCAUCUGCCAUCACCAUGAGAAGAACCUGUCCAGCUUGGCCGUGGACCCUAGGAGGAUGAGGGACACGUACAGCAGAGAUGCCCACCAGCUUGCCAACCCCUGAGUGAGCCCAGCCAAGGUCAAAAAAUACAGAAAAGAAAGAAUCUACCACAGAUACCCUUUUAUUAGAUCAGAAGAGAGAAAGCUUGUAGACGCCUCGUGAACUCACCCCUUCCACUGCGAAGUGCCAGACCCUGGGCUGGACACCGUGGGAGAGGCCAGCUGGGCAAGUCUGUCCUUCGGGGAGGUCUGGGGUGUUUGGGGAAGGGAGAUAGGGACACACAAUCCUCACAACAACUGCAAAAAGAAGUGUGAGCACGUGGGGGCAGAGGGAGCGUCAGUCAGACGGGAGGUGAUCGGGACUGGAGAGAGAUGUCCCAGAGGAGGUGGCUUGGGCAGGUGGGCUUUGACUGGCGUCUAUGGGAGAGGAGCCCGUAGGAAGAAGAGAGAGCAGGACAGCUGGGAUUGAGUUGGGCUGAAGCCGGACCGGGGAGGGUGUGGCAAGAGAUGAGGCUGAACCGGUGGGCUGGAGGAGGGGGUCCCAGGAAAAGCAGCUCUGGUCCCACCGUCAGCCCUGCCUUUUAUUAUUAAUCUCUCUUGUGAAUUCAGGUGGGAAAAGGCCUGCUGAGAGUAGUGCCAGAAUUCACAGGAGAAAGAUUCUGUAAUUUCUUUGAGCUCUGUGACUCUGGACAAAGUAUUCAGUAUUAAUGCAGUUGACCAUGACGUCUUCUGUGUGCGCGACUGACAGACCAAAUUACCUUUCCUUAUCUCCUGGCGAGAAAAAAGGACCAUUUUCUUGACAUAUUUCAUAAUCAUUUCACCUGCUUGCCCCCUAUGGAGAGCGCCGGUGACCCGGCCCCCUCCCCUCCCACACAAUGCAGGAAGUAUGUCAUCUAAUAAGCCCAGUUUCUAAAGAAUGUUUUUAAUCUUGGAAUAGUGAGUGUGAUUUUUGAUUGUAUUUUUAAUUCUCUAUCUACUUUUUUAAAAGCACACGCUUUUGUUCUAAUUCUCAUCUUAGCUCAUCAGGGCCAGGAGGAAGCGUGGACAUCUUCCAUUCCAUGGAUCUGCUUAGCAUUUGACAGGGAGACACUGCUUUGGAGAAUCCUCCCAGGGCUCUUCUUACCUGUGGCGAGUCAUAAAACUCCUACUGAUCCAAACCUGCGUUCUCGUGGAGAGCCGUUUGAGAUUCACCAGAGCAGCAGGGGAGUCGUGACCCCCAGGGGCUCAGUAGAGCAUGAGCCUGGCCAUUGCCAAGCGGCCCGCCCAUGCGUGCUGUGGUUACACGGUCUUCAUGCUGGCUGGGGAGCCCCGAGAACUCGGGUUUGGUUCGUCCUCCAAACACGUGAACACGUGUUGAGCACUGACUGUGAAUUCGGCAGCUGUGAUGGGGGCUGAACUCAGGGCCAAGGAGCCAGGCUCCACUCCACUGUGACACCAGGUGUGGGGCUCGGUGCAGAGCCACACUUUGAACCUGAGAGAGUGGCUGAGCUGGAUGAUUCUCAAAGUGCGCUCUGCGGACCAGCAGCAGCACCACCAGCAGCAGCAUCACCCGGGAACUCAAAGGAAAUGCAGGUUCUCUGGCCUCUGCCGAAUGCACUGAAUCAGAAUCUGCAUUUUAACAAGAUCCCCAGGGUUGAAACCCAGGUUCCAGGCUGUGAGGAAGUCCAGGACACACUGAGAGGUCAUGUGUAGGUGUUCAGGCCAACAGCACAGCCAGGGGCUCAGCUGACAGCCAGCAUCAAUGACCAGAUGUAUGGGUGAGGAGGUCUUCGGAUGACUCCAGGCCAACUCCUAUCUGACUACAGCUACAACUGCACAAAAGAGCCCGAACGAGAAACACUGGCUGAGCCCAGUCAACCCUGGAACCAGAAGAGAUGAUAAUGCCAUCCAGCCCUGAGAUUUGUUUGGAGGGUGACGCGGCCAAGGAUGACACCCACUGCCCCAGAGGCUGGGGGACUGGCAGGUAUAUCUUAGGGUUUGGGGGUGGGAGUGAAGGUCAUCCUGAGGAGAGUCCUUUUUGAGUGUGUUAAGGUGUCUGUGUCCAUGUGGACGGGCUGUCAGAAUGGGCUGGGGGAUGCGGUCAGGGACCACUCCCAUUCCCAGGGCCUGGGUGUCCUGACCAUCCAUGCUAGGUCUGUUCCACGUUGGCCACACUGUUCCAGGCAAGCGCCUUUGGUCACACGGACUGGUCUCUGAGACUGGUCUGAUGUGUGUACUCUCAGGAGCCUGGACAGGGGCAGUCUCAAUCCAGAAAUGACCUCUUCAAUACUUGGUGUAGUUCCCUGUAUGAAACGCCCAAUAUUAUGAGCCACCCAGGCCUGGGUCACCUGCUGACUGGCUGGAGGAAGUGCAUGGGACCAUGUGAGGUCACGGCAGCCCCAGGGUUUGCAGGUCGUCUGCAUCCUGGCUCCCCCGCUUACAAGCUGUUUGACCUUGGUGAGGUUAGAUCAUCUUCCUAAGCUUCAGUUUCUUCAGCCACACAAUGGGUAUAACACUUACCCUUGAGGGUUACUGCGAUUGUCACACAAGGCAGCAUUUGCAUGGGCCCUGGGCCAUGCUAGACAUUCAUCAGGCACUGAAGCUAUGGGGGAGAGAAGUGAGGGGCCCAGGCUCUGGAGCCAGUGGGUUUAAACUCCACUCUACCACUAACAAGACAUUAUUAAAAACUUCUGUGCGCCUCCAUUUCCUCAUCUGUAACAUGGGGAUAAUAAUAGCACCUGCCUCCUGGCUUGUUGAGAGGAUAUAUGUAGUGCUUACAACAGCACAACACACAUAUAUGGGUACUUCACAAAUACAAAUCCAUUCAAGGAAACCAACCCUGGUGCCCUGGGAUGGCCGUUGGUCAGAGACACAGAAGCCGAAGCCAGCUUAGGACAAGCGGAGGGGCCCAGGCCUGCCCCUCGGUUCCGGGGGCCUCACUUCUGUUCCAGGGCUGUUCAGUUACCUGCUCCUAGGCCUGGGAGGCCCAGUGGACAACAGAGUGACCUCUUCUCCACUGAUUUGAUCUGAAUACAUUCUGCCCCAUGAGGGCCCAAAUGAGGGAACUGGUAUGAUAUUCACAGAGAGGUGACAUCACCCGCUGAAGAUCACACAGCAAGUCCCUGGGCCACCUGGAUCCCGGCCACAGCUCCACCCUGCUACCUCCCUCUCUUAAGUAACACAUUAAUAAGUGUCUUACCCUCAGGCCAUUAUCUGUGUUCCCAGGCCAGGGAACAUUUCUGAAACACAUCAAACAUUGACAAAAAGAGGUGUUUUUCUGUCCCCAGGCCAGGCCCUUCGGCCUCUGUUAACCAGUGAGUGUUCUCUGUUAAUCCUGAGCCCAGCUCCUCCUACACACAAGUACAAACAAGGGCAUUGGGCAUGGGAGAAACCUGUCCACCAGGGCCAGGAGGGGACACGGAAGGUUAAUGGGUCCCCUCCCCCAAAGCAAUGCACACAGCUGGGGCUCAAUAAGUGCUACUGGGUGGUAGGAACAGAGCCAGCUGAGGGCACAGGAAGAGGGAUCUGCUAAGCAGAGGAGGCCUGACCUGGGCUUCAUUGGGUAAAACCAGUCAUCAUAAUAAGUAGCUGGCAUUUCGGGAGCUCUUAGUUAGUUCCAGACACUGCCCUGAGCACUGGACAUGGUCACUCACUAACGUUUCCAUGUUUCAGUAUCUGUGGGGUGCAUAUGUUGCUCUCCCCAGUCUACAGACAGGAAGCUGCAGGCAAGAAAGAUGAAGUCAUUUGCUUAAGUCACACCAUUACCAAGAGGCCGAGCUUGGAUUCACACCCAGCACCCUGGCUCCAGACCCAAGCUCUCAACCACAAUACAAGCCUGUGGAGUGGGAGGGGUGAAAUACAUGAGUGAGGGGUGACUUCUAGGUAUUGGCUUGGGGUGGCUGUCCCUUUGAUGGAUAUGUGGGAGGAGCGCAGGUGUCAGGUGAGGUAUUGGGGAGAAGGUGGAUGAAUUGGGUUUGGCAGGUGUUGAGUUCCAGAUACCUGAGGAUGCUCAGGUGGAGGAGGCAGGAGAGAGGCGGCUUAUGGCUCUGAAGCUGGGUGAUGGGGGCUGGAGCUGCUCACUCCAGAGUCAUCAGCGUAGAAGCGCAGCCUGGGAGACACCUGAGCGAUGAAGGGGCAAGGCCACAGCUAAGGCAGGGGAAUUGAUAUUUAGUGUGCAAGGAUUCAAAAUGACAGCAAGAAAAGAAGUGUUUUAGAGACUAUUACUAUUAUUAUUAUUGAGACAGAGUCUUACUCUGUUGCCCAGGCUGGAGUGCAGGGGUGCAAUCAUAGCUUACUGUAACCUUGAACUCCUGGGCUGAAGUGAUACUCCGGCCUCCGCCUUCCGGGACUCAGCCACCACAACCAGCUAACUUUUAAAUUUUUCUGUAAAGACAGGGUGGGGGAG